rnacentral:rRNA from 1 species
GAUGAACGCUGGCGGCGUGCCUAAUACAUGCAAGUCGAGCGAACAGACGAGGAGCUUGCUCCUUUGACGUUAGCGGCGGACGGGUGAGUAACACGUAGGUAACCUACCUAUAAGACUGGGAUAACUUCGGGAAACCGGAGCUAAUACCGGAUAAUAUUUCGAACCGCAUGGUUCGAUAGUGAAAGAUGGCUUUGCUAUCACUUAUAGAUGGACCUGCGCCGUAUUAGCUAGUUGGUAAGGUAACGGCUUACCAAGGCAACGAUACGUAGCCGACCUGAGAGGGGGAUCGGCCACACUGGAACUUAAGCAGCGACCAGACGCCUACGGGAGGGCGCAGUCGGGAACGUUACGCAAUGGGGGAAAGCCUUACGGAGCAACGGCGGGUGAGUGGAGAAGGUCUUCGGAUCGGAAAACCCUGUUAUUAGGGAAGAACAAACGUGUAAGUAACUGUGCACGUCUUGACGGUACCUAAUCAGAAAGCCACGGCUAACUACGUG